rnacentral:tRNA from 2 species
AUGCGGGUAGCUCAACCGGUAGAGUGGCGGUCUCCAAAACCGCAGGAUGAUGGUUCGACCCCAUCCCCGUAUACGA